rnacentral:rRNA from 1 species
GACGAACGCUGGCGGCGUGCUUAACACAUGCAAGUCGAACGAUGAAGCCCAGCUUGCUGGGUGGAAGAGUGGCGAACGGGUGAGUAACACGUGAGUAACCUGCCUAUCACUCUGGGAUAAGCGCUGGAAACGGCGUCUAAUACUGGAUAUGUCCCAUCACCGCAUGGUGUGUGGGUGGAAAGAUUUAUCGGUGGUAGAUGGACUCGCGGCCUAUCAGCUUGUUGGUGAGGUAAUGGCUCACCAAGGCGACGACGGGUAGCCGGCCUGAGAGGGUGACCGGCCACACUGGGACUGAGACACGGCCCAGACUCCUACGGGAGGCUG